rnacentral:rRNA from 1 species
UGGGGAAUAUUGCACAAUGGGCGCAAGCCUGAUGCAGCCAUGCCGCGUGUGUGAAGAAGGCCUUCGGGUUGUAAAGCACUUUCAGCGAGGAGGAAGGUGGUGAGCUUAAUACGCUCAUCAAUUGACGUUACUCGCAGAAGAAGCACCGGCUAACUCCGUGCCAGCAGCCGCGGUAAUACGGAGGGUGCAAGCGUUAAUCGGAAUUACUGGGCGUAAAGCGCACGCAGGCGGUUUGUUAAGUCAGAUGUGAAAUCCCCGGGCUCAACCUGGGAACUGCAUUUGAAACUGGCAAGCUAGAGUCUCGUAGAGGGGGGUAGAAUUCCAGGUGUAGCGGUGAAAUGCGUAGAGAUCUGGAGGAAUACCGGUGGCGAAGGCGGCCCCCUGGACGAAGACUGACGCUCAGGCUGCGAAAGCGUGGGGCAGCAAACAGGAUUAGAUACCCUGGUAGUCCACGCUGUAAACGGAUGUCGACUUUGGAGGUUGUGCCCUUGAGGCGUGGCUUCCGGAGCUAACGC